CUUCUGAGGGAUAUCAUUUGCCUUGUAUCAUUUGCAUGGAAUCUAAGGCAAGAAAGCAUGGUGAGGAAGAAUCAAAUCACGAUGCUGUUUUCUGGCACAGAGUCUGUGAGACACUGAAUGGCAGAGAUCCCCCUGCAAGAGUUUGGGGGAACAGAGCUGCCUACAUGGCCCUCAGUGCGCUCACAGUGCUUGCAGCAGGAUGGUAAAACAACAUCUUUUAUCCAGCCCAAACACCAACCCUGUCCAUGUUCUUAAGUCAUGCUGUUUUCUCAUUGUCUUGCUGUUCCCUUGAAUUUUGUAUUCUUUGCUGCACAGCAGCUCAAUUUCAAUAGAAAAAGAAUAAAAAGUGUGCUAAUGUCCACUAACAGAAAAAGAGUAAGAAAAAUAAGAUUUUGUUUUCAGUUCCACAUAUUUACAUCUCUUAUAACUUUACUGAUUGCUAAGUCUAAACUAAUGUCACAUAGUCUGAUUUAACAAACUUAGCAGUAUGAAUAGUUUAGCCAUUGUCAGCAAGACGAAUUGUUAACCUACUUACAUGUUCAAGUACUUUUCUAGUUAUGUGACAGUACUUAGCACAAUGAAGAAAUAAAUCCUUAAAUAUUUUUCUGUCAUUAAUAGAAGUUUAUCAAUUUGCAGAAAAAUAUUUUUUGAGGGAAUACAAAUUUUAAUGUAGGCUAAAGCUCCUUAACACAUUUAUUAAAUCUCUUUUCUUCAAAGACUCAUGUAAUGCUGAUGGGAGGCCUGAGAAUUUGCAGUAAAAGAACCUGUCACUGACUACAAGCUGGAAACCAAUUCCCAGACAGAACAAAAUAUUUUUUCCUUAGGAAAUUUGCUCAGUGUAGUAGUGAACAACAUUACUAGGGCCACUGGGGAUGCCCACGCAUUUAUUUUCUGACUCAGUAACCCAUUUUCCCAGACCAUUAUGGGAACCAGGAGUUCUUGUUUUCUGGAGAGAGUGAGAACCAUACUACACAACACUGGUUAAUGUUUGCUUUCCUAAGUCUCUUAAUUGAAAUAAAAUGUUAUUUCUGUGCUGUUUAUAUUGCAAAAAGAUACAGCUUGGAGAUAAGCAAAUUUAAAGGAAAGGUUGCAUGCUGGAUAAAGGCAGGAUGCAGAAGAUCAGUACUCUUUGGAUUUGUUGUUACUUGGCAUAAACUCACUGUGUGGCCUUGCACGGAUCUCCUAUCCCCGCAGUUAACCCCCUCCCACCUACUCACUUCAGCAAGGCUUCGUGGAUCGAGGAGAAGUAUUUAAGGGCUGCUACCAUGUUUACUUCCUGCAGUGAAAAACAGAUCACUCUUGAUAACUAUUCACUUGAAGAAAACCCCUGUAAACUGUGUGUUCUAAAAAUCAUUUGGGUUAAUGAUUACUGUAUUUUGACUUCUCUGUUCUAACAAUAAAUGUCUGUGAUUAAGUA
rnacentral:lncRNA from 1 species